AUUGAACGCUGGCGGCAGGCUUAACACAUGCAAGUCGAGCGGGGGAAGGUAGCUUGCUACCGGACCUAGCGGCGGACGGGUGAGUAAUGCUUAGGAAUCUGCCUAUUAGUGGGGGACAACAUCUCGAAAGGGAUGCUAAUACCGCAUACGUUCUACGGGAGAAAGCAGGGGAUCUUCGGACCUGGCGCUAAUAGAUGAGCCUAAGUCGGAAUAGCUGGUUGGUGGGGUAAAGGCCUACCAAGGCGGCGAUCUGUAGCGGGUCUGAGGGGGUGAUCCGCCACACUGGGACUGGGACACGGCCCAGACUCCUACGGGAGGCAGCAGUGGGGAAUAUUAGGCAAUGGGGGGAACCCUGAUCCAGCCAUGCCGCGUGUGUGAAGAAGGCCUUAUGGUUGUAAAGCACUUUAAGCGAGGAGGAGGCUACUCUAGUUAAUACCUAGGGAUAGUGGACGUUACUCGCAGAAUAAGCACCGGCUAACUCUGUGCCAGCCGCCGCAGUAA
rnacentral:rRNA from 1 species